AUUGCGGAGAGCCCUUAGGUGCAGGAAGAUUCUCAGUGAGAACAAUUGCUUCUGAGUGGUGAAGCCAUUGUGUGGUGCUGGGAAGAACUUUGGCAUUAAAAGCGAACCCAAAUUCCUCCCAGGGUAACCUGGGGAAGCUCAGAAACCCUCUGCUGCUUGCCUCCCAUCCUCAGGCUGCAAGGCCUCAGCAGGUGAUAAGAAAGGCAUGAGAACAGGCUGGAAGGAGAAUGAACUACUGAGGGGCCCAAGCUGAAAGAAAUAAAGACUUCCAGUACAUCACCCUGACAGUAAAGAACCAAGAAAAAGUGUAGUCUGGCUGCACCGUCUAUCUGCAGGCUCUCUGGACAGGGAUUUGCAGGAGCUGAGCAUAAGUGCCUCUUCUUUCAGAAGUCUGAGCUUCCUUUCCUAUGUGUAGGUUCCCAAACCUCUGGUCUUUAGACCUCUUACCUGAGGUUCCACUAGAUUACUGUGUUUCUGCCAUAUAAAUAUUUCUCCUCUUUAUCAAACAUCCACAGCACUGUUGGAGGAAGUGUUGUGUGUUAUCAGGAUACCGGUGUUACCAGCUCACUGUGCCCACAGAACUGCUGUAGGUGAAUGAAGGAAGAUGCCCAGUUAGUAACUCAUUUUCUCCUCUGGCGGUCAGCAUGGAGUCCUCUCCUCUACUCAGUCUAAUCUUUAAAAUAUCCUUCUUCUAUUCUAAAGCUCUGUUUGCUUAUGUUUCCUUGCUACCUUUUGGAAUCAAAUUAUUCAGAAGUAACGUGUUUAGAAUGUGUUCUGGAAGAAAACUGGCAGCCACUGCUUUUGUGACGGCAGAGGAAGUGGCUAGCAGCUACUCCUGUCACCAGUCCUGUAAGUCAGGCACCAGCUGAUGCUUUGGGAUUGCUCCAGUGCUCUUCCUCAGCGACUGUGAGAUUACCUGAAUGCUCUCCCCAUAAAUUUCCUGAAUAUAGUCACAGUGAGCUGAGAAACGACGUUACCUCACAGAUGAAUUUACCACGGACUAACUCAGCAUACUGCCUUGAUCCCCUUUGCAGCAGGAUCAGGACUUUGACCUUUGACAGUAAAAGAAAGAAACAUCACUGCUUGAGAUUGGAAAGAAAAGAAAAAAUCUUAGCGACAGCCACUGUAGCAUUAGCAUCUUUUGUCAGAGGCCCCAUCACUAGUUGAGGAGUAGUACCAGUCUGUGGAGCAAGCCCUAUUACCACAGUAGACUACCUUGAUGUUAUUCUGGGGGUCCGUCUGAAGGAAGGCUGGUAGCUGCAGCAUAGAAGAGAUUUCCCUUUAAGAAUCACAGGGGACGUGUGGACCAGCAGCUAUUCCUGAACCUUUGCCCUUGCCUCAUUCAUAGUUCAACAGGACCUUUGUGAUUCCUGUUUUCAAGUUGGCAGGAAACAUGCACUGAAAACACUGCUCAUCGGUUGGAAAGCCUCUCUCCUGAUGAGUGCUGAGCUGGCAGCUUCUGAGUUUCCAGUGUCAGAAGUGAAGUUGCAGCCAAAUGACCAAACUGAGAGUAUGUCCCCUUCAGCUGCCCAUUGCUGCUUCCUUUGAGAGCCCACACAGAAGUCGUACGUCUUCAGUUGAUGCAGACUACAAAGGGCAGUGCAUGGUCUGCAUUGAGUUUGGCACACGGAUCCCCUGGUGCCUUGCUGCUGCCCUGAGCUCACAGGGUCCUAAGUAGCCCGUUUUAGGGGAUCAUAUCAUCUGAUGAAUGGCACUGAAUGCUACGAGGUUCUGAGUUUUCCCAAAGAAGCUGAAAACACAUCAGAUGUUGGACUGAAUCUUUCCUUGUCUAGCUGGAGGCCUCAGGCCUAUGUUACAAAGCUUUUGCGAGCAUUUUGUACCAGCAUAUUAAACCCAAGUGCUGCCAUAUUUCAUAUAGUAAUAAUUAUGUCCUUUGCCUCUAAUGUUCUGGAUAAUGUUUAGCUUUGCCUUUAUUACUUGCUACUGUUCUGCUGGGAGCUCUGGUUUGCAUUUAAUUAUGGAUCACUUGCAAAUAACCCUUGUGGCCCUGAUUCAGCAAACAUUUCUAGCAGGUGUGUAAUUUUAAAGCAAGCGAAUGAGGCUGGUUAAGUCAGCAUAGCUCAGAUCCUC
rnacentral:lncRNA from 7 species